rnacentral:lncRNA from 1 species
CUCCAAGUUUUUUAGCGAGCGACGAGAAACGUCACAAGAAAAAGGAGAGCAAGGGAACAAACGGUGUUCGAUAGAAUCCAACCACGUGUUCCUGAAGGAGAAGAGGCGAACAUCAUUCAAGUGCUCCGAAAGCUCAGAACUUCUUGAGUCCAAGAGUUCCAACAUUGUGUGGUCACGGAGAAGUCGCAGGAGAUGGGCAAAACGACCCUUCGUCUUCAAGGAAAGUGCUUCGUCGAUAAAAUACGCGUCAGGGUGCUUCGAGGAGAACUUGCGUAGUAUUACCGGAC